rnacentral:rRNA from 1 species
UAACGCGUGGGGAACCUGCCCUAUACAGGGGGAUAACAGCUGGAAACGGUUGCUAAUACCGCAUAAGCGCACAGAAUCGCAUGAUUCAGUGUGAAAAGCCCUGGCAGUAUAGGAUGGUCCCGCGUCUGAUUAGCUGGUUGGUGAGGUAACGGCUCACCAAGGCGACGAUCAGUAGCCGACUUGAGAGAGUGAACGGCCACAUUGGGACUGAGACACGGCCCAA